ensembl:lncRNA
CGCACACCGUGAGGACCCAGUCGGGUCUUUGACCCCGCCCCUGCUGUGUGUAUGCGUGUGUUUCUCCCCCUCCUACUUAGGAGAUUGUCUGCAGGUGUGGACGGACGGUGCUGCAGGAGCCUGGCCAGACAACAGACCGGCGGGGUAUAGGCCUACUACGAACCUCGCUGAACAUACCCAGCCAGAGACGCAACUCACGAUCAGAGUUAAAUGGGCCGUUCAGGAUGCUGCCAAGUUACGGUUCCAAUGGAGACGGUAUCUCGCAGAGCGGAUUCUUGUGUGGUAACAUCUCCCUCUGCUGUCCACAUCCGCUCACUACACACACAUGGACGCAAGAUCGCAGGUUAAAGACUUUUUGAAGUAAAGAGGAGCAUCUCAUCUGAACCAGAUGUCUAUCAUGGAUAUUUAACUGCAGCUCUGUGAGUAUCCCAACUUAACCAUCAAGAUGAACUGCAAACUGUAAGUCACAUGUUUCUCAUUACUCUUGGGCACAUUGAUGUAUUUUGGCUUCCUGGUGAGUUAACCCGUUACCUGAAGGUUGAUCUGAGUAGUAAGGAUGUUUUAUUGGUUCAUGAGUUAUUUAGGUGUUUGGUUUAUAUUGGUUUUAAUGAUUUGUUAAAAUGGUUACAGGCUCCAAGUUAUUGUUGUAAGCUGGAGUAAUGGGUUGGGUUCUGAUAUCUUCAGUCUUCUUUCCAGCUACACUCCUGAGCUCUGCAUCUUCAUCACAUGAGCGUUGCUUCACUGAUGAGGGUGUGGUCUGAGUGAGCAGAGGUGCAUACUGGGAUACAGAGCUGUCUGAAGUCUACAGGUCUGUAGACACGCCCCCUCAGGAGAAACCAAGUGUUUGAGAAACCGUCGUGAUGUCAGUUACAUGGACUAGAAUGUUCUUUUAAGAUGGAGACAGGGAUUCAGAAGGAGAAACACCAGGGGGAGAUGAGGGGACUCCUCAUCUCAACGACAAAAACACAACUUCAGUCUGAUACAUAACCAUGGAACACAUUCAACAGUCCCCUCCAGGCAUCCUGACUCCUCAGGAGCAGUUUCAUUUCCAAGAAGGUCUUAUUUGGGGCCAUCCCCAGAUGGAUCCUGCUCCUCAAGAGCCACCCCCCUCCACUGUGUGGUCUUCUGAACAGAUGACCUCCUUCCUGUCCUCAGGCUGACUAAAGCAAAACCGCUUGCAUCUGUGAAUGCUCCUCAUUCAGGAAACCACUGGACUACAAAGACAUGACUUCAUAGACGUUGAAUCAACCUUGGAGACAUUUUGGAGACGCCAAGCAUAAUCCAUCACCAAUGUGGGACGCCACUGAAGAAUGUUGUACAUCAUUUCCUUCUCUGGAGACAUUGGUUGUUCUGUUCUGGGUGCCCUGGCAGGAGAGCUGGGGUUGGAUGAUGGAACGUUGUUUGGCAUGAGGUUUUUACCCUGCAUGAUUGUUUGGCCUUUUAUGGCUCGGUGGUGUGUGUGUUUGGGUUUGACAUGAGAUGGAUGAUUAUUGAGCAUCGCAAGGGUUCUACUGUGUGUGUGUGUCUCCCACUCACACCUGGCAUGGGGUUCUACGUGUGAAUCCUUGGGUCUAUGUGUGUGUGUGUGUGUCCGGCUUGCUUUGACAGUGAUAAUGUUCAUACGGAGGUCUGUGUGAUUGGCUUGGGAUAUUGGAAUGGUCAAAUAAAUCAUACCUGAUGGACGGCCACACGUUUACUUAAAGGCCUCCAGUAGACAUGAAGAGCCCAGAGCGACGCUGCGGAGCGAUAUCCAACACACUGGGCAGGAAGGAGAGUAUCCAACUCAAGUGCAAAAGGAUGCAAGCGGCGUGUUCAGAUCAGUGACUUCAAACUAGGACUUCACCAAUCAGGAUCAAUGGAGGAUGGACACCAAAAGGAAUUCCACAAGGAGAGUCUGACGUUGGAAAGGGACCUAAAUGGAUAUUCAAGAUGACCUUCAGACCUGUAAUGAGAUGGCUCUUCCUACCUGGCUGGAUUGAUGGAGAGCCCUGUGGAUCUUGUCUUUUUCUCAGUUGCACGUCUACUCAGGCUGAACCGUAUUUGUUUCGGACAGGACUAGCUGAACGAUUGCUUCCCUUAAAUCAGAACCAAUCCGGGAACUCCAGCUAGUGCGCUCUUCGAGCUGAAGUUGUGCUCUUCAGCUGAGGAGGUAAGGAAACCCUCACUGAGGCUUCAAGGUGUAAAGAGGAGGAUGUUUCAAAGUGUUCCAUGGUACUCUGAUAAAGACCGUUGUUGUGUUCCACUGGCUGAGAGGAAGAACCCUCACAUCUUCCUCUUGGCCUUUCUCCUCUGAGAAUCCUGGCGCCAUCUUGAAGGAUAAUCCUGCUCAUGUAACUGAUGUCACGACAGAUUCUCAAACACUUGGUUUCUCCUGAGGGGCGUGUCUAUAGAACUGAAGACUUCAGACAGCACUGUAUCCCAGCAUGCAUCUCUGCUCACUCAGACCACACCCCAAUGAGUAGGAUGCAACGCUCUAGUGAUGGAGAUGUAGAGUUUUAUAAGUAACGAGGGAGCAGACGAAGGUGAUUAGAACACAAUGGCAUGUCAAGUCUGUAAAUCUUUAAACCAUGAGGAUGGUUGGAUAGUUCAGGAAUUGGGCUUCUUUUUAUUAUGGGCAGUCCUUUCGCUCAGAUGCCAACUUCUCACUGGACCUGUACAUGUGUUGGCUGGCUGGCAUGAUUUGCUGUUGGUGAUGAGUCAGUCAGGGUGACGUUGCAGGGCUAUGGUCGGCUCUCUGUGAGCUCAACGUUUAGAUUUGCUCUGUAUGGUUUGUACCCUGAAUAAUCUAGAUAAUUGUAAAAUGUAGACACGGUUUUGUAUUGAAUGAUUUUAGCUUUAAAGUUGUUGUGGGACGUACAUGGUAGUUUUGGUUCUUCUUACGUUUUUGAGUGAUAACUUGUACACACUGGGUGCAUAAUAAUGUAAAGGUACACUGAAUAGUAGUAAUGACCAACAGCAACAAACAGAUCUCCUCAAGGUAAGUCUGUUGGCUGUGUUUUAAUGAAGAUCAUCGCGGGACUUCAGGAUCUUCCUCCGCUCAGCUCAAGGUGAGGCGCUGGUUCUGUUUUUUCUUUGGUUGGUUCCGGCCGGAAUGUUCGGAUUCCGGUCGGACGGUUUGUGCUUCCCGCAGUGGAAGGUUCUGAGUGGGGUCACUUGAUUUAGUCCCAAUGGUUAGCAUAGAACGUUGUAGUCUUGACGACCAUAAGAAACCACCCUGGCAGUUAGUUGGACGGGAGUCCCCUGAGGGAAUCUGGCAGAACGUUCUUGAUUGUAUUUGCGUAACCUCGAGCCGUUGCCAACGGAAACAAUUUUUUCAGUCGUUUCCAUCGGGAAUUGUUUCCCCGUAUCUUAAACAACUUAACUUUGAUAUUUAAUACAUACUGACAGACACGUACGUCGUACAAUAUGUUGAUAAUUUCCGAUGGUUGCGCCGUACUUUUAACCACAAUGACGUGACCGGACUCUCGCUGCGUACAAAACAGCGUUCUAUUUGGGGCCCAUUUUUGACAUCGGAGAAGGCUGAAAAUCAUUUCAAGGUGGAAGACAAUUUGACAUUUCUUCAACGGAACCCAGCACCUAAAUAUGGCUGAGUAUAUUUGAUUUAAUAUCGAUACUGCUUAGUGUUCUUUGUUACUUCAGCUUUUGUACGUUCUAAAUAUUUGCUGUCAUUAAUUGCCACAGAAGUUAAACCCUACCAAAUGGAAUGACGCUAAACGACUUUGGUGCAGAGUUACCAACUGGAUAAUAUCAAAGCUAAAAUAAUGGCCGUCCUUCCCACAUGUUACAGUAGAAGAUACUAUAGAACUGUACAAGGUUAAAAAGGUAACGUGUAGUUUCUCCCAAGGUGUCUGCCUCCUCACCCAGAGCCAGACCUCCACCUCCUCACCCAGGGCCAGACCUCCACCUCCUCAGCCAGAGCCAGACCUCCACCUCCUCACCCAGAGCCUGACCUCCACCUCCUGUCAGAAGUCCUCCAGAACAGCUGAAAGGCGAGGCUGAGAGGCUGGAGAUCGGAGGCUUGUGGUGCCAGGAUGGACCGGAGACUGAGGCUGGAGACCAGGGGCCUGCAGCACCGGACCAGAGGACCAAGAAUCCAUGGCUGAAGGAGCUGAUGGAGGAGCCGUGCUGAAGGAGCUGAUGGAGGAGCCGUGCUGAAGGCCCUGCCUGGUGGAGGAGCUGGUGGAGGCCCUGCCUGGUGAAGGACGUCUGUCGUGGGGUAGAUGGAGCUUGACUCUGAAACCAGGACUCUGUCUGAGGAGAGCUGCUGGAGGACGACUAGGAAUCGACCAACAAGGAUUCCUCAACGUGUUUCUGGAGCGGGGGCAAGUUGGUAGGGGAGCCGCAAAUCUGGAGGAUGACCAUCACUCUACCAACAAGGAUUACGUUGGGGCCAGACUUGCACUGUUUGUUCCAGACCAGGACUCUGGCUGAGGAGAGCUGAUGGGGGAGCCAAGACUCUGGAGGACGACAUCACUCUACCAACCAGGAUCCUCACCAGGAAUCUGGAGGACUGAUGGAGAAGCCGUACAUCUAGAAGGCAAAUCCUGAGGACAACCAAGACUCUACCAUCAAGGAUUCCUCGUAAGUUUGCAAUAUCUGGACAUAGUGGACUAGGUAGGGGGUUGGGGGUUCAACUCUCAAACCAAUGGUGC